rnacentral:lncRNA from 1 species
UUAUACUGUCUUGGUGCAUUAAGAUGCUUAUGGCAUAUUUUAAUAUAUAUUGCCUUAUUGUGCAACCACAAGGGCAAUAUUAUUCAAAUAUGACUAUAUGGAAAUGAAGAGUUUGACUUAACUAAAAUAUUAUUGUUUGUUGUGCUAACACAAGGCAAUAAGUAUUUUAAGAGGACAAGAUAAAGUUGAGAAUUGCAUGAGAUGCAAUUGGAAAGAGUUUCCUACCUUUGAACUCAUAAGAGUUUGUUGUGUAAACACAAGGCUUUUUAUGAUGAAUUAGGA